UAACUCUUGCCUCCCUUCAGUCACGAAUAGCUAUUUCGCCUUUUACUAAAGAGCUCCGUGGAGGGGGACUCAUUAUGAGCAUAAAGACCAAUUUUGGAGUGCCUUGCGAAAGCGGGGCC